rnacentral:tRNA from 1 species
UUUUUAUAGUUGAAGAACAACGGGGGUUUUUCAGACCUCAGGUUUUGGUUAAAGUCCAAAUGAGAAUAA